GCCCGGAUAGCCUAGUCGGUUGGGGCGCCAGACUCAUAGGGACCUUUAAUAUGAGGCGUCUUUAAUCUCCUGAGAUAUCUGGAGGUCGCGUGUUCGAGUCACGCUCCGGGCA
rnacentral:tRNA from 1 species